rnacentral:lncRNA from 10 species
GUUCUGUCUUAUAAGUGGGAGCUAAAUAAUGUGUACAUGUGGAAGUAGAGUGUGGAAUGACAGACAAUGGAAAUUCGGAAGGGCGAGAGGGUGGAGGGGGAUUUGGGGACUUUUUAAAAUAAUGGAGGCUUUAUCAUGUUUAUAGGCUACAGACAAGAACUAAUUGACUUAGAGACUAAAAUGCAAGAAAGAAGGAUGAAUCAAUAAAACCAGAGGGUCAAAGGUGGGGGGAAUGCAGAGCACAGAAGGGACGGGCUGAGGGUGUGGCGUCCAGAUUCCGCCCUCCCCUACCCAUGGGCUACUGGAGGCAAAAGACACCCACCGAGCACAGCGGCCACAGAGACAUGCAUCGCCGACGCUGGGGCAGGAGCAGAUGCUAAGGUUGGACAAGAGCAGGGAAAAGAGAAAGAGGAAGUUGGCACCUUUUGGAUUGGAACAUGGCAUCCUGACCCAGAACACAGGGUACUUUCCCACCAAAGCAGCGAGGGUUAAAAAACAGACUCCGUCUUUCCCUCAGCAUCCCCCAAAGUUAGGACUAGGGUGAUAUGGUGUAGGUGUUCAUCCCCUCCAAAUCUCAGUUGAAAUGUGAUCCCCAGUGUUGGAGGUGGGGCCUAGUGGGAGGUGUUUAGG